GACGAACGCUGGCGGCGUGCUUAACACAUGCAAGUCGAACGGAAAGGCCCUGCUUUUGUGGGGUGCUCGAGUGGCGAACGGGUGAGUAACACGGGAGUAACCUGCCCUUGACUUUGGGAUAACUUCAGGAAACUGGGGCUAAUACCGGAUAGGAGCUCCUGCUGCAUGGUGGGGGUUGGAAAGUUUCGGCGGUUGGGGAUGGACUGGCGGCUUAUCAGCUUGUUGGUGGGGUAGUGGCUUACCAAGGCUUUGACGGGUAGCCGGCCUGAGAGGGUGACCGGCCACAUUGGGACUGAGAUACGGCCCAGACUCCUACGGGAGGCAGCAGUGGGGAAUAUUGCACAAUGGGCGGAAGCCUGAUGCAGCAACGCCGCGUGCGGGAUGACGGCCUUCGUGUUGUAAACCGCUUUCGCCUGUGACGAAGCGUGAGUGACGGUAAUGGGUAAAGAAGCACCGGCUAACUACGUG
rnacentral:rRNA from 1 species